UACUACUUGGAUAACCGUGGUAAUUCUAGAGCUAAUACAUGCUAAAAAUCCCGACUUCGGAAGGGAUGUAUUUAUUAGAUUAAAAACCAAUGCCCUCUGGGCUCCUUGGUGAUUCAUAAUAACUUUUCGAAUCGCACGGCCUUGCGCCGGCGAUGGUUCAUUCAAAUUUCUUCCCUAUCAACUUUCGAUGUUUGGGUCUUGGCCAAACAUGGUCGCAACGGGUAACGGAGGGUUAGGGCUCGACCCCGGAGAAGGAGCCUGAGAAACGGCUACUACAUCCAAGGAAGGCAGCAGGCGCGCAAAUUACCCAAUCCCGAUUCGGGGAGGUAGUGACAAUAAAUACUGAUACAGGGCUCUUUUGGGUCUUGUAAUUGGAAUGAGUACAAUUUAAAUCUCUUAACGAGGAACAAUUGGAGGGCAAGUCUGGUGCCAGCAGCCGCGGUAAUUCCAGCUCCAAUAGCGUAUAUUAAAGUUGUUGUGGUUAAAAAGCUCGUAGUUGAACCUUGGGCCUGGCUGGCCGGUCCGCCUCACCGCGUGCACUGGUCCGGCCGGGCCUUUCCCUCUGUGGAACCCCAUGCUCUUCACUGAGUGUGGCGGUGAAACAGGACUUUUACUUUGAAAAAAUUAGAGUGCUCCAGGCAGGCCUAUGCUCGAAUACAUUAGCAUGGAAUAAUAAAAUAGGACGCGUGGUUCUAUUUUGUUGGUUUCUAGGACCGCCGUAAUGAUUAAUAGGGACAGUCGGGGGCAUCAGUAUUCAAUUGUCAGAGGUGAAAUUCUUGGAUUUAUUGAAGACUAACUACUGCGAAAGCAUUUGCCAAGGAUGUUUUCAUUAAUCAGAACGAAAGUUAGGGAUCGAAGACGAUCAGAUACCGUCGUAGUCUUAACCAUUAACUAUGCCGACUAGGGAUCGGACGAUGUUAUUUUUUUGACGCGUUCGGCACUUACGAGAAUCAAGUGCUUGGCUCCAAGGGGGAGUAUGGUCGCAAGGCUGAAACUUAAAGAAAUUGACGGAAGGGCACCACCAGGGGUAAACCGCUUCGCGCAGCCGCAGUAGCUCUGCCCCAGAAAGCAGCCCGAAAGGGUCAGUGGUGUUCCUGCCAGCGCUCCGGCGCGGCGAACUAAUUGCUAGUCUCCUCUGGAGGCGACACCCUCAAAUUGCGGGAAAAUCCUAAAGCCAGUGUCACCAAGCCGGCGCCGAAAGGGCGUCGGUGGCCGGGGUAGCGACCUAGGGUACGGUAAAAGCACACUGGAUAAUGCAAUGGACGAUCCGCAGCCAAGCCUCGUCGCCGCAGGGCACGGGGAAGGUUCAGAGACUACAUGGGGGUGGGUAGUGCACUGUCUGGGGGCUCCGGCCCCCGAGCGCCCGCUCACAACACUGCUUAAGAUAUAGUCCGGCCGUGCUGGAAACAGCACGGGCUGGCAAACCCAGAAACGGGAGCCUGCGGCUUAAUUUGACUCAACACGGGGAAACUCACCAGGUCCAGACACAAUGAGGAUUGACAGAUUGAGAGC
rnacentral:rRNA from 1 species